rnacentral:rRNA from 1 species
CUAAUACGUGCGAAGCGCCGAGCCGCGAGGCGACGGGCGUUCUCGCCGGAUGUAGGAACCGACCGGGGACCGCCGGGGCAACCCGGCGCCCCCGAGACGGGGCGAACCACGGUGAAAUGACGGAUCGUCGGCCCCGCGCCGGCGACUCGCCGAAUGAGUUUCUGACCUAUCAACUCGAGACGGCGGGGUAGAGGCCCGCCGCGGUAACGACGGGUAACGGGGGAAUCAGGGUUCGAUUCCGGAGAGGGAGCCCGAGAAACGGCUACCACUUCCAAGGAAGGCAGCAGGCGCGCAACUUACCCUAAUCUCGAUUCGAGGAGGUAGUGACAAGAAAUACCGAUGCGGGACCCUACGGGUGCCGCGUUCGGAAUGAGUACGAUUCGAACCACCUAACGAGGAACGAUCGGAGGGCAAGUCUGGUGCCAGCAGCCGCGGUAAUUCCAGCUCCAAUAGCGUACGU